UACUUGAUUAUAGUUUAGCUGUUUCUUCAAACAUGAUUUAAAAUAUUUUGCAUGCCUUGAAACUGUGUAUGAGUGUAUCGAAAGAUGAAAUCUUAAUUUUAUAACCAGAAAGAAAAUAGAUAGAUAGAUAUAUAUGAAAAGCUAAUUUUGAUCACAAUUGGACGAUCACAAAGACGAGGUUGGCUAAAUAUAAGAAUAAAGACAAAAAUUAAGCAAAACAUAAACAAAAA
rnacentral:sRNA from 1 species